UACGGAGGGGGCUAGCGUUGUUCGGAAUUACUGGGCGUAAAGCGCACGUAGGCGGACCAGUUAGUUGGGGGUGAAAUCCCGGGGCUCAACCCCGGAACUGCCUCCAAAACUGCUGGUCUGGAGGUCGAGAGAGGUGAGUGGAAUUCCGAGUGUAGAGGUGAAAUUCGUAGAUAUUCGCAAGAACACCAGUGGCGAAGGCGGCUCACUGGCCCGAUACUGAUGCUGAGGCAUGAAAGCGUGGGGAGCAAACAGG
rnacentral:rRNA from 1 species